rnacentral:rRNA from 1 species
UACGUAGGUGGCGAGCGUUGUCCGGAUUUACUGGGCGUAAAGAGCGCGCAGGCGGUCGUUCAAGUCGCGUGUGAAAGCCCCCGGCUCAACUGGGGAGGGUCACGCGAUACUGAUCGACUCGAAGGCAGGAGAGGGAAGUGGAAUUCCCGGUGUAGUGGUGAAAUGCGUAGAUAUUCGCAAGAACACCAGUGGCGAAGGCGGCUCACUGGCCCGAUACUGACGCUGAGGCACGAAAGCGUGGGGAGCAAACAGG